AGUCAAAGAGAGCCUCAAUUGCAACUAAGCUGAGUAAUUUAAGAAAAUGUGUCCCUAGCAGAAAGCUGCACAUAUGGAUUGUCCUGAUUCGCUAACAGCUGUGUAGGAUUUGCUGUUUCUUCCAUGUUUUAUGUGAUGAUAGUGGAUGCCGGCUCUUAGCUUCCAACACUGAUUGCUAUUCAGGGACUGAGAUUCUGGAUCUGCUCCAAUCAUGUGGAAUCUAUUUUGGACCUGUCAUGUCACACUUGAACUCUAAAAUAUGCCUAUCGGUGAAAGGUUCUGUUUAUCUUUCUCUUUACUCAGACUCACACAGAAAAUGGAGUUCAGUCCUCACACCAGCGGACUUUUGUUUCACUCUGAAACCCUCUCCCAAACCCAGGCAGCAGGAACAGCAACAACAGUUUUCCAAACUUCCCCGUCACAUUCACAGGAAUCUGAGACUAACCGCAGUCUUGGGGCACAACAGUGAGAAAAUGCUUUCCAGCUUCACUACCGUACUCAGCGACCCAGUUGAGCAGGGUUCUCACAAAGCUGCCAGUCUCACUCCGGCCUGGACCUGUGCCAUUGGAAACAGAAGUGCAACUUUAUCACUUGACUUCAAGAAGAGGUUUCCCAGCGGCAUAUGGAGACAAUAUACAAGACAGACCCAGUGGAGGAAGCUCCCCUUUCAUGGUGGGGAGGUGGGGAGUGUGUACCCUCCCCCCUCUCCCUCUCCCCCACCCCCUCAGCCCAGACUUGAGUGGGGGAUAGGUGAGGAAGAGUGCUGAGAGGUAAAAGAGGAACCAGGCCAGUAUUUUUCCCUUAUAAAAAACUUUGAGUGAUUUGUGCCUGAAUUCUAGUACAAUUGAUGUAAACUCGAAGCUCUGUCCGCGCCCAUGAGAAAGAGAUUUAAUCCAAGUAACUACUCCACAAAUCAGCACCAAGGAAACCGUUACCAUGACAGUGGUCACUACUGGAGCAUUCCCCCAAGGGCUUACUUUACCUUGUCCACAGAAGAACACCAAACUACUUUUUGUUGUGGUUUAAGUAUACCAACAGCCUCUUCAAAAUGAGAGGUGUACUUUCAACUUCUUUUGUCAAUUUUAGUUCCGUAGUUGAAGAAGGAAUAGCAGCCUUGGGCAGGCAUUUUGGAAGCACAAUCCUAAACUCGCUGGAGAAUCUGGAAACCCCAGCCCCAGAAGCAAGUUUCAAGCCUAUCAAAAUAUUUAUUUUUUUAUUCAUAAUAAUUAUUUUCUAAAAGAAAGCUACAAGAACUAAUACACUCUGUGUGAGAAUGCGUCAUACUCCUGGGUAGGCUCCUACAUUUAUAAAACUCAGCAACUUCAACAGAGUGUUUAUUUUCUCUAGAAACUAUGAAGAGAUGGACACAACCUUUCAGAGACUAGGCUAUAACUCAUUGGUAGCUAUGGAUAUGGAUUCAUUCUUGAUUUUAUAAUUGUAAACCUAUAAACAAUUGUAUGAUAAAAAAAAAAAACUUAGAAGUGUUGUGAUCACCAAUACUUUUUGUCUUCAAGUAAAAGGAAGUUUGAGAAACACUGGUCAAGAGUAUAAAUAGACAGCACCCAGAUGGCUCAGUGUCUGCCUUCAGCUCAGGUCAUGAUACCAAAGUCCUGGGAUCGAGUCCUGCAUUGAACUCUGUCCUCAUUGGAGAAUCUGCUUCUCCCUCUGCCUCUGCCCCUCUCCCAGCUCAUGCUCUCUUCUCUCUCACUCUCUGAAAUAAAUAAAUUAAUUUAAAAAAUUUCUUUAAAAGG
rnacentral:lncRNA from 1 species